UGUGGUUACUAUAGCAAAGAGGAUACACCUGUUCCCAUUCCGAACACAGAAGUUAAG
rnacentral:rRNA from 1 species